GAGAGAUGACAGAGUUGGGGGCCUGUCCCACUUACGUAUCCUUGGCACGCAAAUUACGCGACCUCGUGAUGGUGUUGAGGCAUACGGGCAUUGUAUGGCUGCGCGGGGCCGGUCCCACUGAGAAGCGCGGAGGGAUAUGUAGUU